rnacentral:rRNA from 1 species
UACGGAAGGCAGCAGUGGGGAAUAUUGCACAAUGGGCGCAAGCCUGAUGCAGCCAUGCCGCGUGUAUGAAGAAGGCCUUCGGGUUGUAAAGUACUUUCAGCGGGGAGGAAGGCGAUGCGGUUAAUAACCGCGUCGAUUGACGUUACCCGCAGAAGAAGCACCGGCUAACUCCGUGCCAGCAGCCGCGGUAAUACGGAGGGUGCAAGCGUUAAUCGGAAUUACUGGGCGUAAAGCGCACGCAGGCGGUCUGUUAAGUCAGAUGUGAAAUCCCCGGGCUUAACCUGGGAACUGCAUUUUGAAACUGGCAGGCUUGAGUCUUGUAGAGGGGGUAGAAUUCCAGGUGUAGCGGUGAAAUGCGUAGAGAUCUGGAGGAAUACCGGUGGCGAAGGCGGCCCCUGGGACAAAGACUGACGCUCAGGUGCGAAAGCGUGGGGAGCAAACAGGGAUUAGGAUACC